UACGAAGGGGGCUAGCGUUGUUCGGAAUUACUGGGCGUAAAGCGCACGUAGGCGGAUUGUUAAGUCGAGGGUGAAAUCCCGGGGCUCAACCUCGGAAGGGCCUUCGAUACUGAUGAUCUGGAGUUUGAGAGAGGUGAGUGGAAUUCCGAGUGUAGAGGUGAAAUUCGUAGAGAUUCGGAGGAACACCAGUGGCGAAGGCGGCUCACUGGCUCAAAACUGACGCUGAGGUGCGAAAGUGUGGUUAGUCAACGGG
rnacentral:misc_RNA from 1 species